rnacentral:rRNA from 1 species
CCCACGGGAGGCAGCAGUGGGGAAUAUUGGACAAUGGGCGAAAGCCUGAUCCAGCCAUGCCGCGUGUGUGAAGAAGGCCUUCGGGUUGUAAAGCACUUUCAGUGGGGAAGAAAGCCUUGGGGCUAAUACCCUCGAGGAAGGACAUCACCCACAGAAGAAGCACCGGCUAACUCCGUGCCAGCAGCCGCGGUAAUACGGAGGGUGCGAGCGUUAAUCGGAAUUACUGGGCGUAAAGCGCGCGUAGGCGGUCUGAUAAGCCGGUUGUGAAAGCCCCGGGCUCAACCUGGGAACGGCAUCCGGAACUGUCAGGCUAGAGUGCAGGAGAGGAAGGUAGAAUUCCCGGUGUAGCGGUGAAAUGCGUAGAGAUCGGGAGGAAUACCAGUGGCGAAGGCGGCCUUCUGGACUGACACUGACGCUGAGGUGCGAAAGCGUGGGUAGCAAACAGGAUUAGAUACCCGUGUAGUC